UGGGGAAUAUUGGACAAUGGGCGAAAGCCUGAUCCAGCAAUGCCGCGUGAGUGAUGAAGGCCUUAGGGUUGUAAAGCUCUUUUACCCGGGAUGAUAAUGACAGUACCGGGAGAAUAAGCUCCGGCUAACUCCGUGCCAGCAGCCGCGGUAAUACGGAGGGAGCUAGCGUUGUUCGGAAUUACUGGGCGUAAAGCGCGCGUAGGCGGUUUUCCAAGUCAGGGGUGAAAGCCCGGGGCUCAACCCCGGAAUAGCCUUUGAAACUGGAAGACUAGAAUCUUGGAGAGGUCAGUGGAAUUCCGAGUGUAGAGGUGAAAUUCGUAGAUAUUCGGAAGAACACCAGUGGCGAAGGCGACUGACUGGACAAGUAUUGACGCUGAGGUGCGAAAGCGUGGGGAGCAAACA
rnacentral:rRNA from 1 species